GCGGGAGUAGCUCAACUGGUUAGAGCAUCCGCCUGUCACGCGGAAGGCUGCGGGUUCGAGUCCCGUCUCUCGCG
rnacentral:tRNA from 1 species